UUCGGGUUGUAAACCUCUUUUAGCAAGGAAGAAGCGAAAGUGACGGUACUUGCAGAAAAAGCACCGGCUAACUACGUGCCAGCAGCCGCGGUAAUACGUAGGGUGCAAGCGUUAUCCGGAAUUAUUGGGCGUAAAGAGCUCGUAGGCGGUUUGUCGCGUCUGCUGUGAAAUCUGGGGGCUCAACCCCCAGCCUGCAGUGGGUACGGGCAGACUAGAGUGCGGUAGGGGAGAUUGGAAUUCCUGGUGUAGCGGUGGAAUGCGCAGAUAUCAGGAGGAACACCGAUGGCGAAGGCAGAUCUCUGGGCCGUAACUGACGCUGAGGAGCGAAAGGGUGGGGAGCAAACAGGAUUAGAUACCCUGGUAGUCCAAGGGCGAA
rnacentral:rRNA from 1 species